GGUGCUCAGUGUCCUGUCACUUUAAGAACCCCAGCACGUAGCCCUCUCAGUGCUUUCACUACUUCUUCAGAGCAUUUUUGCGUGUGCUGAGCAGAAGAACUUGUGAGAAUGGCAGACCACAGUCAUAGAGAUGAUCUUACCCCAGAAAUACAUCUGUGAUGACAAAAUGCGUACGAUCAUGUUGCUUUAGGCUUUCACCCCAAGAGCAGAGCAGAAAGAAAGAUUCAUGCUUGUAAUUCUGUGAAUUAACCAUUUCAGUGUUACUCCUUUCCAUAGGCACUGUUUGAUUUUUCUGGAACCAAUAAACUGGAACUCAGCUUCAAGAAGGGAGACUUGAUCUAUCUACUGAGCAGAGUAAACAAAGACUGGUUGGAGUAGGUUGUUUCCAUGGAAAUUAAUUGAAUUCCAGACCUCAUGUAUGUGGCCAAAACGGCACGGUUUUCUUCAUUCUAACACGUCCUAUCAUCCCAGGGAACAGCUGGUGGUGUCACUGGGAUUUUCCCAUGUGCUUUUGUGAAGAUCAUAAAAGAUUUACCACAGCAGGCAGACACGGUUAAUAAAGUUCGCUGUUACUACCACGAGGAGGCUGUGAGCACUAUCAGGGAUAUCUCAGUGGAAGAGGAUCUGAGCAGCAUUCCGUCAUUCAAAGAGCUCACGGAGUUGAUGAGGUACAGUGCAAGCACUUAGCUCUAUGUUUAAUAGCAUUUAAACGUUGGUCAAGUUUGUUCCGGUCCUAGAUUUUCCACCUUCUCCUUGGUCAUCACCAUGUUUUGGGUGUGAAAUACUUUUCAGGUGUCCUGAGGAAGUUGUUCUUUGACUUGGCCCAGGGCCACCUGUGCAGACACUGGUCUGCCUUGGGAUUGUCAGUAAGCAUGGAAUGCCACACCAUUCUAACUCAGUUGUGAUGGUUUCCAUUUCUUGUGCUAAGAUCAGCACCAUAGCCGCAUGCAAGGAUCUUUUGUCUAAUAUUCUUCUUCCGGAUGCAGGACACUGCCUUCUAACACCCGUUAAACUAAACUGGUGUUGAACAUCAAACCGUUAGAACAUCAAACAUGAGUCAUAGAAGACCUGUGCUAAUAUUCUUCCUUUCCUUAACCUUCCCUCCCCUCAAAAAAAGCAGCCGUAAGUAGGCAAAAGUGGGUACUCACUACAGUCAGCUCUUAUGUAUGGGAAUUUUAUCAAACUCA